rnacentral:lncRNA from 1 species
GUUGCUUAAGGCAUACAGUGUUCUUUGCAUGUAGAGACGGAGGUAGAUUCUAACAGAAACAACUAGGGUGAACUAAAGCAUGCCUAGAAUACAAUGAAAAUAAUAAAAGUUGUUUUUUGCCACUGCUUAAGGGCCCAGAAGAUAGAAUAUUUAGACCAAGAAUAUGAUUCACAGGAGGUUUUAGAAUUUCUUUCUUUGCAUUGCCCCUGCUCAAAGCUUACCAUGAACCAUUUUAAAUAGAAUGUGGAACAUACACAUUAUUUCCUUCUAAACAAAUAGAGUUACCAUUGUGAAUUAAUUAAUACAUUCACGUCAAUUUUAAUUGUUUCAAAAAUUAUAAUAAUGAUAGAAAACACAGUAGUUGCUGCAAAGGUUAAACAUAGCUAGGAGAGAUAGAAUUUCUGUAAUUCUAAUUAAGUUUGAAAAUUCCAGAGAGGUACAUAAUGUCAUUCAUGCAGGGUUUGGGAUGGGGAUAGGGGAGAGAAAUCCCAAACGAAACCUUGAAUUGAUGAAUAUGAGUUAGAUUUUUUUUCCUUUUUAUCUUUGUUUGCCCUUCUUUGGAGGGGCAAAUCAACAUUACAUAAUAAAAGAAAAUACAAACAAGUAGAAAAGUGAGAAGAAAUAAUAAAAGUAAUAAUGACAGUAAUUAAUAAUAAUAUCUAAGGUAGCAUAACUUUAUACAGUUUGCAAAGCACUGGUAUAUGCCUUGCCAUAUUUGAUCCAUACCACAUGCCCGUGUGAUAGCUCAGACAGGUAUCAUUACCACUAUGUCUCACCCUUACAUUGGUUGGACAACUGAGGCUCAGUGAGUUUCAGUCUCUUGACUGAAAUCACAAAGCUAGAGAGUGAAAGUACUAAGUUCAUGACCAGUUCUUUUGAUUAUGUCAAGAUGAAAGGAAAGCUUUGAUAUUUCACAAACUAAAUUAUAUACCACUGACCAGGCAUGGUGGCUUAUGUCUGUAAUCCCAGCACUUUGGAAGGCUGAGGUGUGAAGCAGCAGUUUGAGACAAGCCUGGGCAACAUGGCAAGAUCUCAUCUCUAUGAAAAAUUUAUGGAAAAAAAAUUAGCUGGACAUGGUGGCACACACCUGUAGUCCUAGCUCUUCAGGAGGUUGAGGUGGGAAGAUUGCUUGAGCCAGGGAGAUGGAGGCUGCAGUGAGCUAUGAUCAUGCUACUGCACUCCAGCCUGGGUGACAAAGAAGACCCUGUCUCCAAAAAAAUUUAAAUAAAUAAUAAAUAAAUAAUUGAUAACUGACAAAUUAGAUGCUGUCAUAUUGAUUAAAUUAAACAGAGGCCAAGAUAACUGGGGCACAACUAGAGAUAAGAAAGUCUGGUUAGGUGGGUAGCUGUGCUCAGCAUAGAAAUGGAAAUGCCACUGAUUGCGUAGAAGCAAUGGGAGAUUCGUUUACUGAAGUUAGUUUUUUUCCUGCAUUAUUCAGUUCUAAGAUUACAUGGUUAAGGAUUUACUUUCUGAUUUUGAGGUAUUUUUCUAAAUAAUGGUGAUAAUAUUCAUAUGUGCAACUUGAAAAGCUUGAACAAUUUUGCAAUGGAAAUUAGAUCCAUUUCUAUGAGCCUGUUUACUGCCUGUAUCACUUCCCUCAAUUUGGCCAACAUGAAAUGGUCUUUCUCCUCUCUCCCUUCUCUUUUUAAAACUCAAGAAGGGGGGCAUGGCGAUGAUGGUGAGAAGGAGCAUUCCAUCUUUGCUUCCACAAAUAAAUCCCAAAUGGGGCAAGCCUCUCAUUAAUCUUGAGCUAAAUGUGAAGUUAGACAUGGAGGGGCCUCUUGUUCCACCUGUCUGUUCAGAGCCCUGGGCAUGUUAUGGAGAAAAUGUCAAAAGAUUUCUCUUCUCUUACUUCUGCACCCUGCCGUGAUGUUUUAUUCAAACCUCUAUGUCCUAAGGAAACAAACGCUGCCUAUAGAAAUCUCCCCCUCGUGGCUCCCGGUCUCACACAUAAACACGCACAACACCUGUGUUUAGGAGAGCUGAUCAAUUCUCACAAAAAGCAGUCUCUCCGUAACAUGCUGCGGGGCCAGAGCACUCUAGCGAAUGAUUUCUGUGGCAGCCACGACCCUCUGUGACUGUGUUUGUAUCCAUCUGGUAAUGCUUGUGCUUAUACAACAUGAUGUGUCCACUGACCCUUCCUUCCAACAAGAAAUGAUUUUAACUGCCACUGGAACUCUGGGUUCAUAUAGAAAAAAAACCUGACUGCUGGAAAAAUAGGGCUGGGUGUGGGGAGAACGUGAUGCAGAUGUGCCUGAGAAUGGGUCGGAAUCAGCAGCUCGUCCACAAGGGAAGAAAGGAGGAAUUUUUCUUGCUUGACUUUGCAUCAGCUCUAUAUUUGGUACUGCCCUUGUGGCCAGCAGGGAUAGUAGCUUUUCCAUAGGGUCUGGGCUGGAAAUCUAUAGAGACUACAUUUGAGUUUCUAUAGAAACUCUAAGGAAAUUGAGCACAGGAUGAGGAAAGUGAGCGGCUCCCACUGUCUCUAUGUCCCAUUACAAGCACAUGAGACAGGUUACAAAGCAAGAAUUAGGACAAGAUGGUCAUGGUGGUCAUGCAAUUGGAUGCACAUUGGCACAGUCAGUUAAGGUACCUGACAUGAGGGAUCCUUUGUUCUCAGUGAGCCACAGACUGCACAAGGCAGAGACACAUGCAGCAGCAGUGAGUAGGAUUCCUGUUUUUAUCGGUUCCAAACAGCUCCAGAUGGACUGAGAACCAGGCCUGGUGGCCACCAGGAAUAUUCUUGAUUCUCAGCCCAUAUCUCUUCCUUUUUAAUCCAUGAGGAAAGGGCGAGCUGCUCCCUGUCUGUUCCUCUACCCAUCCUCCCUCUGCCUUUGGCAAGUCACUUAACCUCAUCUGGAAUAUAACUUGGCCCCCAGAGACUUUGGACAUAGGGUGUUUUAUUUCCAAGAGUCAGACUUGUCAUACCAGCAGAAAGCACAGUGCCUAGUUUGAUAUGGCUUUUCAUUAGCUGUGUGAUAAGGGAGUUAACGAAUCUUCAAUACCAUGUGUAAAAUUACAAGGAAACAAUACUCAGGGCCACUUGUGAUUACUUUGCUCUCUUAGCCUUUUGCUAAUGCUUUUUCAUUAAUUAUACAGCCAUCACAUUUCUCCUGAUGGUAAAAUACCCCAAGUGGCUCAACUCCAAACUGCAAAUGUUUAGCUAUUUGCCCUUCCUCUAAUGAUUACAGGCUGUGUGAGAGAACAUAAUAUUAGCCUCUUUCCAUGUUAUGAAAAUUGAAGGUAUGCCCAGAGAAGCUAAGGUUUAAGCCUCAAAGAAAAUCUUCUCCAACAUAUUUAACAUAUAUAUAGUGUUACCAAAGAAACGUAAAAGAAUGCAAAACAUCUCCUCUCUACUGACUUUUCAUGAAGCUGCACAACACAUUAGGCUUUGCCUUAUGCUGGUCCCUCUGAUGGCUUUGGGAGUCAGAUCAGGUUUCAGCUAUAAGCCAGCUGGUGCCAUCCAUUUAAGGGAAAACAGUUAUGUAAGUGAAAAAGAUUCUAAUCACUAAGUCUAAUUACAAAGUAGAGUAAAUUAUUAUAGAUGUUUUUUAAAGUAUCUUAAAACACUGUAAAAAAGAAAAAUUAGGAACCAAACAGAAACCUGCUAUGCUGGUAAUUGAUAACAUGUUUGGGAUUAAGACAGUCACAUGUUAAAUUUUAUAUGCUACUGCUAUUUGUGAAACAUGACUCCUCAUUCACACAUUAAAAACUGUAUAACCUUUCUCUCUGUUUCAAUCAGAUGCUACAUUGUUUGACUCAAAGUACACCUUAGAUUAUAGGUCCUAACCUGGAGUAAUAGAAAUGUUUCACUUACACUGGACAAAGGGAACAUCAAAUUAGUCUACUAAUAUGAUAAUAAUUUGUCAAGAGAAGGAAAAGGGGGUGGGGAAAUGAGUGACACUUUACAUAGACGUGUGAAUUUUCCAAAUGCAGAUCUAGCCUCUCCUAUUUAACAUCUUUCAUUAAAAUAUUUCAAAUGCUACACAUUCUCCUAAUUGAUGCAAAAAAACAAAGACAAACACAUUAACAUUUAAUCCUUGGUUUAUACACUAGGCUUCCACCCAGAUAUUUCUUAAAUUAGCUCUGUUUAUACUCUGUCCAGCGACCAUGGACCUCACCAUUUAGUCCAUCUGCUUCCUGGAAAAAUGAAUGUGUGUGCUCUUAACUUUCAAUGUGCUUCUGAAUGGUAUUCUCAAUUUAUUGUCUAUUAUGUCAUUGGACGUUGUGGAGAAGGCUGUCAGUGCUCACCAAGUAUCUAUGUUGCUUCUCGACAUUCUCCAACCUCUUGGGGUUCCUUUGGGACCAUACAACUGGGCUGUAGCCAAGAAAAUGUUGGGAAAUGUGAGGUAAGCAAUAUGGAGGCCUAGCCCUUAAAUAAAAGCCCCUUCUUACCUUGUCACAGCGACUGUGGUGGAUACACGAUCAAGAAGGCAUAGCUGCUACGUAACAGAGGCAUGCAUAAACUGAACUGGACUACAUGAGCAAGAAAUAAGUCAUGAGAACUCAGUAGUAUCUGCUUCAGCCACUAACAUUAAUGACCAAAAUGACUCUGAUGAAAGCAUCAUUAAGAAGAGAAAAUUACACAACUUUUAUUUAGGAGUGUAUGGGUCUGAAAGUCAGAAACUUGAUAUGAUGUCCUCUCAGAGUCCCUCAUGUUUCCUGACUAUGACCACUGAAUGGAAACUCUUUCUUCCUCCAUUGAAUGGAGACUUUGGAUGUUAAUGAGUACACAAUUAAUCCUCCAGUCUACUCAUCCAUUUCUUCUUUAUUUUCUGACGAGUUAUAGCCUCCUGCCUGACAGAGGCCGUCACCUUGUAAGAGAUAUAGGCCUUAUAGGAACUUCUCUGCUCUGUGAUUCUGAAGCCACAGUUCAGAGUCAGAAAUUGAUGUCUUUGACUAAUUCUGUGCCUCACUUUUGUCUUCACUGCCUGUCAGGCAUUCGUUAUCUGUGAGCCCACCCCAAUUAUAAAUCUUUGGUGCUAAAAACCUGUAAGUGGCUACUUCCAGGCCCCUAACCUAUAAGUCACUGAGCCUGGAAAUUUGGCAAUCUCAAAAUGGAAUUUUAUAAAAUGCAUAGUGUCAAAGAAAGUAUUCUGUAAAAUCUAAACAAAGAUAAUAUAAGAGUAUUAUUGAAUUAGCAAAAUGGCAUUCUCAUCAAUAGAGUCACAACUUCCAUUCACAACUAUUAAGAUAAUGAACAGUACCAAGUAUUUCUAGAAAUUGCUUGAGGAAAUAUUGUACUAAAAAUUCUUACUUUGCAGUCCAGGUACUAUAACCAAGUUUCUCUCCAUUUGCAUAUGCUAGCUAGUAAAUAGCAUAGCUGCUGGAAUAAAUGAGUCCUGGAUAAUAUUUUUGGCUUUCUCUCUGUCUUGGUAUCUUUUGUACCUGCAGAUCUUUUUUUCUUCCUCCAGCUAGAGGAGAAAGACAAUACCUCAGGAAUUAUUUAAGGAAAAUCUGUUACAUAAUCAAUGCAAGGACUCGGGGACCUCUGUAUUAGUUUCCCUUACUGAAAUACAAAAUUAUGCUUUAUCAGAACAAAUAAGAUUUCAAACAUAGGUCAAGUAUGUUCUCAGUUUCCCAUAGUGAAACAAUUCUAUAUUUGGCAUUUUGCAGGUUUCCUUAUUAAACAAUCAUUUCUUCAUAAGAAAAACAUAAAGGAAUUUCACUGAAUAUAUUUCUAGUACAGAAGCUAUUUUUAAGGCCAACCAGGGAGGAUUUCAGGAUAAUAGUGAGAGGGACAAACUGAAAAUGUGUGACUCUGGAUAGAAAAUAAGAUCUGGCCUACAUAAGUAAGCAGUUAUCUAAGAGCAGUCCCAUUCACUAAAUGCAAGGCUUCAGGAGACCUAGAUUUUGAGCCCCAUACUUUCUCUGACUCUCAGUAGGGCUCCUUCAUGCUACAAAAUCUCUCCAUAGUUCAGUCUCUUUAUCUCCAAAGAGAUAAAAAUAACAUUCCAAUUUUCUAGAUUCCAGGACAGACACAAGGAUUAACUAAAUCAUUUAGGGAAAGUAUAUUGGGUAUAUAUGCUUAGAAUAUUUUCUUUUAUGUAAUCUUCUUCUCAGAAAGCACAAAAGGAAGAUAAAAUUGAGCCAGAAUUGUAUGGUAACAUUACUGAUUUUUAUGUAGGGCUUGCAGAAUAUGUCCCAUGACUAUGUGGUUAUACUUGGCCUAGCACACCUUUAUAGUUUGUAUGUGCAUAUAUAUAAUCAUAUAUAUAAUCAUACUGAUAUAUAUAUAUCAGUAAUGUCCUAUAUGACAAGAUUGUACUCAACUUCAGUGGUAUAAGCUUAUUCUGUUUAGAUGAGCAUUUUAGAAGUGAACCAGGAGGACUAACCCUUGAGCUGAAUUUCCAUAGUCUCAUGGUUAAUGCUUCCUUAUAUGGAUGAACAUAAGAGGCCAGGGAUCUAGAAUAAAAGAUAUGAGUGUGAUCAAUGUCCUGAACAAAGGAUGUCUGAAGAUCCAAGAGGAUGGGGACUAUCUCUUUCAAUAUGUAUUCAUAGUGUAUAAUUUGGUGGUUAGACACUGGGUUUCAGAGCCUUGUUUCAGUCCCAGUUCCUCAAUUUACUAGCUAUUUAAUCUUGGGGAAAUUACUUAAUCUUUCAGUUUUCUCACCUGAAGGAUGGGAAAAUUAACUUAUAGGCCUUUACAAAUUUUAAAUAAAAUAAUGCGUGUGAAAUACAUGAUGUCUGGAAUAUAGGAAGUAUUCAUAAUAAAUGUCACUAAUCUCUGAAGACGCCAGUGCCACCUGAUUGGAACAUCAGAAAUAGUGAUUUGAAAUAUUUCUCUGGAACACAGAAAGGGAAAGCAUGAAUAAAUGUAUCAGUGAAGGCCAGAGACCUCUCUCUGGACAUACACUUUUGGGAGGUAACAGGUGACCAGCAACUUUUAUUUACUUGAAUCUGUAACAUCUCUGUAGAGAAAACUAAAGCAUUAAAUAGGAUUUAUUUCUUGAACCGUGGAAUGCCUUGAAUACUUUCUUUUUAUUUCUAAUUCCUUUGCUCUCAGAUGAGAGCUCUCUCCCCUUCUCUGAGAUGUAUGCUAUAUAUAUACACCCGCCUCUCAUUCUGAGAUACACACUACAGUCACUUAGCACUUCCUCUUUUAAUUGAAGGCUGUUCAUUUGGCUGGCCUAAAGUAAGAGAGAGAAGUGCAAGUCAGAAAGACCACGAAGGGCAACAGAAUAGAAAUAUUGCUCAAAUGCUUGUCAUUUUCUGCAUGUUAUAAGACAAAAGACUGAGAUCUUCCCUUAUAUUGGGUAAGAGUUAUAGUUGAUUGAGAAACCACAAUUGAAUAAUGUUUCUUUUGUGCAAAUAAAAAUACCAACCUUAAGGCAGCAUUAGAAUACUUUGCAUAGCAUUUACUUCAGGUUUUCAUGAGAGAGGGAGGAUAAAAACAACCUAUAUUUGAUGCAGUUCCAAGGUCUUUCUUUUUUUCCCUGCCAGUGUUUGCAAUAGCCUAUAUUUAAAUGUAUAGAGGUGUCUUCAGAGAACCACAGGCAUAGAGAAUUAGAAGUCUGUAACUGGAAGCAUCUUUCAGGGUUGAGAAAUGUAAGCUAUUGUGAAAGCUCAACAAUACAUGUUGAAACAAAUCUUUUGGAAAUGAUUGAAUUGAAUGUUUUCACAUAAGCAAAUCUACAUUUGUCAUUCUGAAUUCUUUUUAUGGAAAGAUGGUGUUUCCCCCUCCUGUUUAGGUAAUUAAAACUAGUCACUUGAUGAUCAUUCAUUAUCAAACAUUUCUGCACAUGGCAAAAAAUGCUUUGGGGAUGAGACCCUGCUUAUACAAUUUCAUCCAUCAAAGGAAGUCUUUCUCCAGAAGCUAUUAUUCACUCUGUGAGAGUACAUUUAAAAGCAUUACUUCACACCUAAGUAACGUGUUAACAGCACAGAGUGUCUCUCCCUUGGUGGCUAGGCUCCAGUGCCUGUAUUUUAUGGAGGCACCAUGCACCAUCUUGAAAAGCUGGACAGCUUCCAGUAGCAUUAGGGUUUGGAGGAAGAGCUGUUGCUCCUUAGAACUUUACUUCUCUUGGGAAUAUUAUUGUUUCAAUUUAUUUUAAUGCAAUGAGUGGGAGAGAAGGUGGGAAUAAAAUGCCUACACAGAAGCCUCUAUCUAACAGUCCUGCUGGGUGGGGCAUUACAAAGAGAGGCCACAGGAAAACCUUUGAGAGUUUGGAGCCUGCUGCGUGAGAGAGAUAAAAGUAGAAACAGCAAAUUGGCUGCAAUACGAAUGGCAGGUGCAUUUGUUCACUGGAGGCAAGUUUGGCAAUUUAGUUUUCAAUGACCAGCUUGUCUCUUUAAGGUUCACCUUUCAAAGUCCUCCUUUUUGCCCUCAACAUACAUCGCUAAAGCCCUGUCUCAUCUUGAGUCCCCACGCUCCAGGUAACAGCAGCUCUUUACUCUGCCUCUCUUUGGGGGGGGAAAAAAACUGGUCCCCUUUUCUACUUACUGGGAGUGGAAUUAAACAGAAGGCAAUGGAAAGCUCGCUGAAGCACAGUGCACAGUAGAAUGACAUACCCAAAGAGAAAGCAAAUUCCUGUUAUGUGUGGAUAGUUUUAUCCUUCCUGGGUAAACACAGUUGAGGGGAGGGGAACUCUCAGGCAAAACACUAUGAUUCUGACCUCACUCCAGUAUUUCUAUAGAUGGAAGAAAAUUCAAUGCGUAUGUUCCCACUGCCAGAAUGGGACUUAAGAGACACAGGUCAAGGGAGAAGAAUUCAGAAUGGAAAGCUGAUGAGAGCAAUCUGUCUUCGCUGAAAGGAGAUGAAGGGAGGUGACAGUUGUCCAACGGUCUCAGAUAAGCAAGGAGAAAUGACUGCUAUCUGUGUAGAGCUCAUCUGGACAAAAAAACUACAUUCAUUUUUCCCUCUACAUAAAGCACACAUAACCUUGAAAUGCACAUGCUCUACAUGCCAUCUCUUGUUUAUUUGUGUACCCACCAUUCUUAUUCCAUUGGUUGUUUCUCACUUCUGUAUUUCUGCCAUUAUUAACUGCCCUAGCAAUUCCACAAAAGAAGUGAACAUAAUCUCAAAUAAAAUUGUGAUAACACCGUUUGGAAUACCUUUGAUGGAAUGUAGGUGGCCAUGGAGGAGUCUCCCAAGGCAGCUUCAUGUUAGGAAACCUGAAGUGGCUAGAGUAAAUGAGGUCACUUUUCUUUUCUUCUCUUUCUUCCUUUUUUUUCUUUUAAGAGACAGGGUCUUACUCUGCUGCCUAGGCUGAAGUGCAGUGGCUCAUGCCUGCUGCAGCCUCAAAUCUCUGGACUAAAGCAAUCCUUCUGAGUUGCUAGAACUACAGAUACAUGCCGCCAUGCCUGGCUAAUUUGUUUUCUUAAUUUAAUUGUAUUUAUUUAUUUACUUUUUUGGAGACAGGGUCUCACUCUGUCACCUAGGCUAGAGUGCUGUGGUGUGAUUACAGCUCACUAUAGCCUCAACCUCCUGGGCUCAAGUGAGCAUCCCGCCUCAGCUUCCAGAGUAGCUGGGACCAUAGGUGUGAGCCGCCACACCUGGAUAAGUUUUAAACUUUUUGUAGAAAUUGGGUCUCACUAUAUUGCCCAGCCUGGUCUCAAACUACUGGCCUCAAGUAAUCUUCCUGCUUCGGCCUCCCAAAGUGCUGGGAUUAUAGGCAUGAGCCACCAUGCCUGAUCCUACAUAUUUUUAAGGCCCAUAUUAGCCAACAAAAUGGUGAAUUGAUUCUGAGGAACAAUCAAAAGAAGAAUAUAUAACAAAUAAGUGAUUUCUGAAUUGCACAGUUGCUUGUUAAUGAACAUCAAUUUAUCAAACAUGCUUGUCCAAAGUUUAGCCAAAGAUUGAUGAAACACAUAUGAUCUCAAAAUCAUCUCUCCCCUUUUAUAGAAUCAAAGGCCUCUGAAUUUAGGCAGACAAAUAUGAUUUAUAUUCAAAAUUCAGUCCUUUUGCAAGUAAAUGAUUGAACUGAGUGUCCCUGGGAUGAAGCCUCUUCUGCUUGUUCCUGUAUUGGACAAAGAGCGGAGGAACUUAGGUGCUGCACUUUCAAACAGCAUUGAUUUCAAACAUUGAUCGUGCCAUAGAGAUGUGUACCAUAAAAAAUGACAGUAGAAGCAAAUGCUUGAUACCAACCAGAAACCUCUCAGUCCUCUCAAUAUAUACAACUCCUGAGAUAACACUUGAUUUUAAUUCAGCAAGAAGGAAGCAAAGUCAUACAUAUGUUUUGGGAACCACAAAAGUAAAUGAAAGCAUGCAAAAAAAAACAAAACAAAACAAAAAAAAAACACCUUGAUUUUAAAAUGGAAUACAUCAUUUUAUAUAGCAGCCAGGUUUGAAAACUUCAUAAAUGUGGGGGCAUUUUUUUCCUAUGGUUAUUUUACUUGGAUAUGUUUGGAUGAUUAAUUUAUGCUUGAAGUAAACUAUGCUACUUAUUUUUCCUUGACAUAUAUCUCGACACACUGCUAUAAUAGAACCAACAUAUGUAUAUAUUAUACAAUUCACUUAGAAUUAAUUGUGCACUAAGGUUAUGGAUAAUGUUAGGUGAUGAACAGGAUCUUCACUGCCUUAAAAUUUUAUGUGUACUAUUCUGAGGCAUGUGUAACUCUAUCAAGUUUAGGAUUACCUAUUAUCAUGUUCCCACUAUGAUAAGAUAUGAAGGGUUAUAACAAUACCUAACAUUCACUGAGCACUUACUAAGUGUUUUGCACAUAAUUGUUCAUUUAAUCCUCUGUCCUACUGUAGGAGCUAUUAAUGGUACUAAUGGAAAUACCAAAUAUUUUUAUUUUAUGGAUGAUAAAAUAGUCUGGGUUAGAAUCCUACAUCUGUUCUGUUCUAUCGGUCUUAAGACUCUGGCAGUAUCAGUAUCUACCAGUCUAAUAAAGAGCAUUUCUUUUUUUUUUUUUUUUUGAGACAGUGUCUUGCUCUGUUGCCAGGCUGGAGUGCAGUGGCACGAUCUCAGCUCAUUGCAACCUCUGCCUCCUAGGUUCAAGCGAUUCCCCUGCCUCAGCCUCCCAAGUAGCUGGGAUUACAGGCACAUGCCACCAUGCCCGGUUAAUUUUUUGUAUUUUAGUAGAGACGGGGUUUCACCAUGUUGGCCAAGAUGGUCUCAGUCUCCUGAUCUCGUGAUCCACCCGCCUUGGCCUCCCAAAGUGCUGGGAUUACAGGUGUGAGCCACCGUGCCUGGCCUAAUGAGCAGUUCUUAAUCAAGUAAUCUGUCUGCAUGAUUUCUUUCUUUUUCACCAUUCUGCAUGUAUGUGUCUCUGCCAGACACACAUACUUGGUAGCAAAGAAUGAUGUUACUGAACAAGGUGGAUAAUCUUUCAGUCAGAGUUGUAUAAACAACUGUGUUCCUAUUCUAGAAACUCCAGGAGUAUAAUGACCCAGUGCCUUUUUUAUCGCUCAAUCUAUCCCUGAUCUGUUUGGAAAUUUUACACCUUUCUAGUACAAAGCUUCUCAACCUUGGAAGUAUUGAAAUUUUGGGCUAGAUAAUUAUUUGUUGUGGGAGUUUUUACAUGAUAUAAAGCAACAUCCCUGGCCUCUAUCUAUUGGAAACGAGUAGUAUUCACUCAUUUGGAUGGAAUUUACAUUCUUUGAGAUGCUGUUCCACUUAAUUAAAAAUUGAUGGUUUUACUUAUUACCAUUACUUUUUACUUUUUAAACACUCCUCUCUGGUUAUCAUAUGCUUUUUUUAAAAACAAACUAACCAACUCAUCAAAAACUUUCCGAUUUAGGUGAUUGCAGACAAGGGUCUAAGACAAGCAUUCUGUUUACCUUCUUCCAUGUAGAAUGUGAAACAUGAUAAUUCUGGCGGGAUAAUACAUAAUUAUGAAAAUCAGCUUAAUGCCAAUGGACACAAAAAGGUUGCUUCUGAUUCUCUACUUUGCUUGAGGAAGGAAUGAUGGCAGUAUCUACCUAACUCAGAGCAGAUGUCACCCCACACAAGGCAACAAAAUGGCAUUUCCUGGGCAUAAAAGCAGCAUCACAGUGUGAAAUGCUAUCCAACAAAACUUACUAGGGACACCACUAAGUUAGCUUGCUGCUCUGUGAAGCAGACCUGCCAAUAAGACCUGGUCUGUUGUGUGCAAAUGGAUCUAUAUGAAAAUGAAAAUAAAAAAAUAUUCUUGCCGGGCGCGGUGGCUCACGCCUGUAAUCCCAGCACUUUGGGAGGCCGAGGCAGGCGGAUCACGAGGUCAGGAGAUGGAGACCAUCCUGGCUAACACGGUGAAACCCCAUCUCUACUAAAUAUACAAAAAAUUAGCCAGGCAUGGUGGCAGGCGCCUUGUAGUCCCAGCUACUCCAGAGGCUGAGGCAGGAGAAUGGCGUGAACCGGUCAGGCGGAGCUUGCACUGAGCCAAGAUCGCGCCGCUGCACUCCCGCCUGGGCGAAAGAGCGAGACUCCGUCUCAAAAAUAAAAUAAAAUAAAAAUUAAAGAAAAAUUCUUAAUGUCUUUCCACUUAUGCUUUCAAAAGUUGCUCUACUCUUCCUCCAUGAGCCCUCUUUACCAAUUGAAUGCAGAGACAACAUUAUCCCCUUUUUAAUUAAUAUAUUACCUAUUAAGAAUGCUCCAGAUAGAUGGACAGAUAGAAGGUACUCAGGGAAAAUGCUCAGGCUUGAUUACCUGCAGUGUGUUGAGUACACAGAGAAAGGCUGCUUUGCUUUCUGGAUGGAAAGCAAUGGGAAUAAUAAUAUGUAAAUUGAUGUAUCAAAAUUUCUGAAAGCUCAGCGUUAUUUCCCCUUGCCCAAAGAUUUCACCUCGCCUUAUUAACUAUUCUAACAACCCUACCUUUCUUUUUUGUUUGUUUGUGUAAUUCUUGUUUCCUCCCAUUUAGCACACAGAAAAAAGCAUUAGUAACACUCCUGGUUUUAAAUGAACCCUAUUAAUAUUCGUCUCUGCAAGGGACUCUGGGAUAAUUUUGAUAAAUGUGGCCAUGAAGCUGAUCUGACAGAGCUGAGUGUGAUGUUUGUGUGUUCAUGGAGAACCGUUUCAUGCAUAAAAGGGUGACAGACUGAAAUGGGGAGUCUGACAGGUCUCUAUUUCUGGGCCACAGUUAGCAGCUGAAAGUAGAAAUAUAAUUGUAUCUAAAAAAAAAAAAAAACUAAUGCAAAACAAAAGAAGCAAUCUUUAUGAAGAUAAAACAACCCCACUGGUUUCUGAUUAGAAGGUAAUUCAUAUAUCACAAUCCUCAGCUCUCACAGCCCCAGCUGGCCAGACCUCCAAGGCUGUACAGGAGGGUAAUGUGAACAAAACCUGUGUUUGUAAGAAGGAGAGGUGAGCAUGGGGAGCUCAGGCUGCAUGGAGUGGCUUCCAUUUCUUUCUGUGUCUCCACUUCCUCCAGCAGUGGAAGAUGCCCUGAAAAGACUAGAUGCCUUUCAGUCGUGAUUACAUUUCCAGAAUGGAAAGAAAGAAAAAACAAAAAACAAAAAAACCCAGGCUGCCAUUUCUGAAAAAGCUUUGUAGCAAAUGUCAGACGUUUUGAAAAUAGGAUCAUUCCAUAUACAUGGGUUGCCUGAGGUAGGCUUCACAAAGGUUCUUAGCUUUAAAAUGGAAUACAUAAAUAAGCAGUAGGGUAUUGAAGGAUUAUGAGCAGCAUAAAGACAGUUAUUGAAAAUGUUCAAAAGGAUCGUCUAACCUAAGCAAGAUGAAACUCCAAAUAUAGGCAUGUAGAAUAAAAGAGAAGAAAUUUAACUACUUUCUUCAAGUGCCUCUAAAUUCUGCACUUUAUUAUCUUUACCAAUCAUUUAUUAAUUUUUAUUAUGAGCAUUGGUCCUAUUUUGGGGACAGGUAUUUAUUUCCUCAACAUAAAAGUUUAUAGAAGAUCACAAUGAAUGUCUUUGAAGGGAAUGUGGCAGGAAACAAGUAGGGAAUGAAGGCAGUAGUGGUAGUGGUUAGAGGUUUCACUGUCAUAUUUUGGAGAGUCAGCAAACCUGGGAAAAGAUGAUAAGAAAAAAAGUAUAUAACCACAGACAGCUCAAAAAUAUUUUUCAUUGGGUGGAGGUGGUAAAAAAAAAAAAAAAAAAAAAGCCUAAAAUGGCUGAUUAGGUCAGAGUUUUUCAAAUCAUCUCCAAUUGCAAAGCAGUGAGAAACAAGCCCUGUUUUAUAAAAAGUGAGAAUUCUUCAUAAGUUGGAUGUUACUUAGGUGUCUCUGAGAACAGAAUGUAAAAAUUAAUGAUUAUAUGCCUAUCAUUUAUUGAGCAUAUACUAUAUAACAGGCCUUGUUUUAAGAAUGUUUUAUUUAAUUACCAGAUUCUUCCUUGAGAUGUAGAUAUUAUUAUGCCUACUUUACACAUAAUUAAACUUUGCCCCAAAGAGAUCAAAUACAUUUCAAUGUAAAUGGCAUCUCUGUUAAGGAAAUAACCUAGGCUCAAUUUUAAACUCCCCAAAGUUUCAUAGCUUACAGGGUCAGAGUCCAGGUCUGCCUAACCUUGGAAUAGAAAGUCUUUACUCCACUUACUCAUGCUUUUGAAAAUUUGGCCUUUGUGUUAGGAGACAGGAGGUAGAAAUCCCUUUCUAUGAGCUAAAGUAGGCAUGUUAGCUAAUCAAGUCAUUCUUCAUCCAUAAAAAUUGUUGCCUUUCUCUAAUAAGUCAUAUAAGGAAACUCAGUCAACAUAGCAUUUCCUAGAAUUUAAAUACACACCAAAGCUGUACUUUGAAGCUGACAUUCUGGGCUACAUUGCCUUUGGGUUGAGGCAGCCCUCCUGUUCUUAACUUGUUUACUGGGAACUGCACCUGGUAGAGGCAUCUCCAUCUGGUGGUCCAAUCAGAACCCAUUAAGCACUGAGGUAGACUGCCUGGAAGUGGAAAAUAUGGACUAGGGAAGCUGAGCCUGAGCUACAUGACUUCACCUUUGGAAAAAAGAAACAGGAAAAAAAAAAUACAGCCCAUACAGCUUGCAGAGCAAUUGUUCCUGCACAGAACUCUGGUCUAAUUGAUUUGGACACCACAGCUAAUUUUCCCUCAGACAUCUGUUAGCACACAUUAGUGGAUGUCGUUAGGUAGGGAGGCACUGAUUAGAUGGGGAGCAGAGCUCAAAGGCCCUGGUUUUGGAGGCUGGAGCAGACGGAGGAAUGACAACAGAUAGAAUCUGCCAGCACCCCAGCAACGUCAGAUACUUCUGCUGCAGCAACCCUGAAAGGAAGCAAUAAUUGCUAGGGAGCCUUGGCAGUUGUGCAUAAUAGUCUGAUCCUUUCUUGCAUUUGCCCAAAUAAUAAGCAUCUUCUGAAUUUCUAAAGGCAAAACAAGAGUGCUCCAGAUACCAACAGGGCCAAAACACACAUGAAAUGAAGAUAAUCAUUGUCAAUACCCCUUUCGCUUCUUUCUCCAAAUCUCAUUCAUUCCUGUAUUUUAGACAUUAGUAUGUAGCAACUAUUCCAGGGGCUCACUCAUACCCAGUCAGGCAGAUGAAAAAAUGGCUGAUCAGGUCAGAGUUUUUCAAAUCAUCUCCCGUUGCAAAGCACUGAGAAACAAGCCCUGUUUUAUUUAUUCUUUCUUAUGCAGCCAUGCUCAGAUACUUAACUGAUGCUGGAAUGCAGUUCCUAUCCUUUGGGACACGUAUUUUGGUUAUACAAGUCAGAAAAAAUAAUCUGAUGCCCUCAAGAAAAUCCUCCACAAGCCAGUCUGAUGACUACUCUCUCAACGAAUACAUUUAAAAGAUUAUGAUCCUCUUUCAGAAGCAGUACAAUGUCAUGCAUCACAAAUAAGCUGAAGAAAGAAAAGGUUGCAACUCAGUCCGAAACAGAAAAAUCCUAUAUAGAGGCAAAUAUUUCAAAGAGUGGUACAGACUUAAUCUUUUCCUUACUGUUCCUAGUGUCUUUCUUAAAAUACGAAUCUAGUCUAAAAAAAAAAAAAAAACAAAACAAACAAAAAAAAACUGUAAGGUAAAGUCAAAUAUUUUAAGGUGUUUAAAGCCCAUCAUUCUGGACUCGACCAAUUUUUUUCCAGGUUUGUCUCUUCCAAUUCCUCUCCAUGUUCCUUUUUCUCUAUUUAAAACAGACUAUUUGCUAUUACCUGUACAUCCCAACCACUUCUACAUGCAUGCAUCUCUUUCUUUUGAUCCUUUUGCCUCCUUGGACAACUCUGACUUCAAGACCCUGCCCCUAUUUUCCUCCUCAGUGAAAUCUUCCAUAUUCUAGGGAAAAAGCCAUUUCCCCUCUGUGUGCCAACUGGACCCUGUUCACAUUUCCAUAGAUGUUGUCAUUGAACAUUAUAAUUUUUAAAUUAUUUUUGAAAUUGACAGGUAAAAUUAUAUGUAUCAUGUACAAUGGAUGUUUCGAAGUAUAUGUACAUUGUCAAAUAGUUAAAUCUAGCUAAUUAAAAAUGCAUCACCUCACAUAGUCAUCACUUUUGUGAUGAAAACACUUAACAUCCACUAUCUUUGCAUUUUUGAAGAAAAAAUAUACUCUCAUCGACUAUAGUCACUUAUUUUUGUUUGCAUUUCUGUUCUUCCCUCCUUGGCAUCCAUGCACCUUUACCGUUUGAUGGCAGGGCUGUUCUUAGUCAACUUUGAAUUUCCAAAAUCUGACACAGUGCUUGGCAUAUGAUAGGCCCUUACUAAUAAAUAUCUGCCAAAAGGAUGAAUUUGUGAAUAAACUUUGCCACUGAAUACAACUAUCUGGGUAGCAAAUGGUAAAGGGAUUUGUUGUUAGAGAAGAGUAUCAAUGACAGGGCUUCUGAAUGAUCAUGUAUGUUUCACUUCAUAAAGUUAACAAACAUAUAUAUCUUGAAUAACUUUGUUGUGUGUGUGCAUUCUUUACAUAAGUUGUCAAAGAAUCACCAAACAAAAUGUCCUGUAAUAUCCAGUCUACCAAGGAAGGAAUAUUUUGUACAAUAUAGUUGUGAAGGCUAAGUAAUGAUUAGUUAUAUCUGAGAUUUUGAAAUAUAGUGCAUUAAAGUGGGGUGACGAUAGGCAAUGCUUAAAGUAUCCACAAAAGCACAUCUCUGUAUAGUGUGACUUAGCUAUGGACUAUACAUUUGGACAAGAAGAAAUAUAAACAGAGUCACAUGACUUCAACUGUGAGUAAAAUGAACAAAUGUAAAUCUAACAAGUCUUUUGUGUGAGCUACUUUUGCAUUCACACUACCCUAAUGAUAAGGGAGGACAGAAUCAAAUUGAACUAUCUAUUUAGUACUUAUUACGUAUUAGAAACUAUGCUAUGUCCUUUCAUAUUAUUUAAACAGGGUCUUAUCAUCAUAUCAAUAUUAAACAUCAGAAACUGAGGUAUAAUGAGAUGAUAUAACUCAUCCUAGUCACAGAGCUAGAGGUGUAGACCAGAAUCAAACCAGUGUUCCGGUUUCAAUCCAUGACUCCUUGCACUAUGUAGUACUGCCUGUUUCUGCAUCACGAUAUGAGACAAAAUGUAAUGUAAAGAAGACAUGCAAUUAAAAAUAAAGAGGGCCAAGGACUCCUGGAGUUGAAGAGGUGAAAGAAUAUGCAGGAAUGAAUUAGCUGAAUUUCAAUGCUGCAAAUGGGAGCUGAUACUAUAGAAGUUCAGUGGAGAACAGAACCUCCUCUAGGUUCACUCUCAGACAAUGAUUAGGAGACAGUAAAUACACUGUCUAUGUUACAGAGCAUUGAAAUGCUCAACCAGAGCUUGAAGCCAGGGUUGUCCAUCUGUCCUAGCUUUAAUGGGAUUUACUGGGCUUUGCUAUCUCUGCUUUCUGCCAAACAGAAUCAGAAAGCAUCAGUGUUGGUAAUUUAGGAGCAGUUUUUGGCCACAUAAGUGGCUGUUAGUAGAAUUUAUGGACAGUAAAGCUUGAUUCAGGGCCAGCCUGUAGCAAAACCAGGGAGCAAGCCAUUCAUCUUCAGUAGUCUCUACCUUCUUAAGUGUGCCAUUUUUCCCAGUGACAAUUAGUUGGGAAAUAAACUAUUUGAAAAAUUCCAGUAAUUAAUUGCAAGGUGUUGGUUGCAUCUGUCACCUGUUCCUCCAAUGUCACCCAACAAAAGAUAUUUGCCUUUCAAACUCUGUGUUUGUAGGGUAGUUACAAUGGCGAUUACAAUAGGGUGGUUACUUACAUAAUAUGGUGGUUACCUUUGCUGACUACUCAUAAAGUUACAAUUUUGUUUUGAAUGGAUAUAAGAGGUCUCUAGCUGCCUCAUGUAUGACGCUACCCAUAUGUUCCUGGAUCAAUUAAACAUUUUUUUCUGAAGGAUAGUUCUGGAUUUAUAAGAAUCUAUUUAUAAUAUGAAUUAUAAGCCCUCAGAAAUUAGAGAAAAAUAUGAAUCUUUUCACUUUAUAUUUCUUUCACAUGAACAUUUUAAUCAACAUCAAUUGCUGAAUCAAAACAGACACGCAAGAUUGAGUUAGACACUAGAUAUGUUUUUUACUCAAGGGAAGCCAAAGGUUCUGUUCACUUACCCUAUUUGACAGAGAAGCUGUCCCUUCAAAGAAAAAGUAAAGGUUACACAAAUCCUGGGAAUUAUUCUUUUGCUGGAUACCCUCCAUUUACACAGAGUGGCCCAUCCCCUGAUGUCCCCUGCUCUGUGCCCUGGGAGGCUGAUCACCUGAAUUAUAUCAAUGACAUCCUUGUCUCUGGCUUCCAAUUGGGAUCAAUCAGUGAGGAAUAUUAAUAAAAGAUCUGAAAGGGUGGCAGAGUGAUAUCUGGGCAUUUAUUUCCCUGACUCCCACAACACAGCAUCUCCAUGGGCUGCCUGUGUUCUCCUGGUACAAGUCCUAGUGCUUGUCAGAGGCUCUCUGCACACAGUGCUCUGUUUCUCUAGCUCCUGGUAACCACUCCCUCCCAUUACCCUCUUCAGACCUAAAGGUGUUAACAGCUUCCUGAUGUUACUAGCCCCAGAGCACUGCACUAUCCCCCUUGAUUUCCUUACCCCCUGCCUCUUGUCCAAAUAUUAAAAAAAAAUUUCUAUUAAACUCCUUUGACAUUAUCCAAUUUAAGUUUGCCAUCUGUUUCCUGCAGGGAGUCUCACCAAAAAAGCCCUGUAACUCAGGUUUACCUUUAUUCUGAAGCCUGAAUAUGGUCCUUGGGGAAAUUAGGGGGAAAAAAAAAAAGUAUCCACUAAGUCACAUGGUCAAAAAUGGGUGCUUUAGCCUAGAAAAGCACCAGCAAACCAGAUGAAUUUCUUAGGACAGAUACUGGCCGUUAUGCUGUGGCUUACAUUCACCCACUAAAGCAUGCUUCCUAGCCAAGGUUUUAAUAGCAAAAUAAAAGGUUUGGAGUCAGCUUUGCUCUCUUUCCCCAGGCCAAGGGCAUAUUUCCCAGUUACUUCUAAAGGACUUCUUUCUUAAAAGAUCCAAAUAUGAGUUGCUAUGAAAUUCUGUCUUUUUUCCAAGAACCAUAUAAUUCAUUUGUAUCUGUAGUAUGAUCAAUGACAUCUUGUGGAAGAUAAAUUGUGCCUUAUAAGGCCAUAGUACGGGGCACACCAGAAUGCCAACAGGACUCCCAGCAACAACUUCAGAAUUCCAAGAAAGUGUUAAAUAAUAAAAACUAGCACAGAGUACUUGAAAUGGUGAUAUAAUAAAAUCUUCUUUCAUGUCUGCCUCCAGCAGAAACCUGGUGGCAGUAGCAGUGAGGGACAUAUUUGGGAGCCUCAUUUUCCCCUCCAGAGGUAAUGGAAUCUACAAUUCAAAAAAAGAAGGAAAGAAAGAAAUCACUUCAGUACCUGGCACAGCUAAAAGUUGUGAAUCAUCAAGGCCGGCCCAGGAGCAGCAAGGUGAAUGACGGUGACCUCCCUUGUCAGGUUUUAGCCUCCCGUACAUUUGGCAUGCAAAACAUAGGUUUAAAAUAGCUUUCCUGCAGGUUCCAUGUGACUCGUCACUGGACCCAGCCAGCACAAAAGGGUUGAUUAGUGAGGGAAAAAAAGAGAAUCUUCUCCUGAGAUGACUUCCAAAAGCUGCUUCUUGCAGCACAAAUCUCCCUUUGAAAAUGCAGAACUGGCUAGGAAAGGCAGCAGCAUUCUCUCCUCCAAAUGAUUGAAUUUUUCUUUGGGAAUCCUUUAUUAUUGUUGUUGUUGUUUGUUUAAAGAAUGUCACCUUCCAGCUCCAACAACCCUUACUUUGGAGAGAUAUCAGGAUGUGAAAAAUCAAGGGGCAAUCCCUAAAGCCAUCACCCUAGCUUUCUUACCCACUAGCUUUGGGCAGACAGAAUCCAGACCCCUCUUUACAGAAAGUAGAAAGUUUUGAGCAAUGGCUUCUUGACCAGAUCUGGCUGUCAGCAGAGGCACAGGGAUGUCAUUUGUACUUUGGCUGCCCACCCAGAAAGCGAUGAGGGCCUCUCUUGUCAUGGCUACCAGUUGGAAGUCACUGGCAGGUGCUCAUCGGUGAAAUGGUGCAGGGGGCUGGGGAGGGGGUGAUUUAAUUUUCCUCUGCGGAUGGAGUAAAAUUGCUCUCUGGGGGAAUACUAGUGGAACAGCUGUCAUACCACCACCAACUGCUUCAGAACUUCUUUGUAUCCUGUAUUAUUCUUUAAAUGUUGAGCAAAGCAAGAAGUGCUAAGAUGUGAAGUAAGAAAGAACAUAGAGAAAGGUAAAAUUUAAAUGUAGAAAAUUGUAUAGUAGGGAGAAGAGCCAUGACCUGAAACUUGCCAUUUUUGGGCUGGCCAGUGAUCCAAGUACUUCAGCACUGUAGACAGAGGGCCAACAAUGAAUGCUUCACAAGGAUGCUGUGACUGAUAGAUGAUGAUCAUGAAUAAAAUCCUCUCUGGUUAGUGUCAGCAAUGAAAAGAAAGGAGGAGAAAAGGAAGGAGGAGGACAGAAGUAGAAGUGGAUGAUAAAGAAGAGGUGGAACAGCAGCAACAGGAGAAGAAGAGAGAGACAGAGAAAGGGGUAGGGGAUGAACACCCCAACUCAAAAUUUAGAAGAAAAGAGUCAGAAGAAACGUUGUAUGUGUUUUUCAGUUUCCCCUUUAUUCUAUUAAAUCUCUUGGGUUGUAGCUUUCACAAAUAAGUAUGUAUUUUAAACGAAGAAGACAAUCGUAUAAAAUUUAUAUUUUUAAUAUAAAUGUACUAUAAGGAUUUCUUCCUUCCUGGAAACUCCGGACUGGCUUUAAUGCCUCUAGGUCUCUGGUAGGUAAGCACCGUCCCCGUGAGGCUAAGAAGUUCAAAUUUAAAGGAUGAUGGGCCAAACAAGACAAAGCAUUCUUGUGUUUAACCUCUGUUGAGAAGAAAUUAUUUACCUGCUAGCUACUAGUUCCCAGGCAUUUGGGCUCAAUUACCCAGGAAACUUCUUUCAGAGAGGGCCUGCACUCAUCCAUUCUGGUAGCAAACAAGUCAGUGUGACAUCGUUCAAGGUGCUCGUGUGCUCCCAGACCAAUUUCACAUCUCAUUGCUUAGUUGGACGGAAUUUGAUUGUACAUGCUCCCUGGACUCUCUAACCUGGUGCAGAGAAUCAACCAGUUCUGAAGCAAAACUUGGUUUCAUUAAAUGGUGCAUAGUGGAAUGCAGAGUGAAACCACUGGAAAUAAAAUCUGGGUAAAAUGUCUCUAUUUAUAAGUCAGCCUGCUCUUAGUGGGGAGGAAGAGAGGAUGUUCACUCUUAAGCCCAGUGGCACCAGCCAUCACCUGAUGUUUACUGUCACCCAAAGUAGAAAUUCUUAUUUCACACUUGAAAUAUGGAAAUAUGGAUCUCAACAGUAAAACUGAGAACCAUAUCUCAGAUCCACAGCCCUGACUACAAGGAUGCUGUGACUGAUAGAUGAUGAUUAUGAAUAAAAUCCUCUCUGCUUAGUGUCAGAAAUGAAUGCUUAGUGUCAGCAAUGAAUGCUUAGUGUCAGCUUUUCAAUUCAAUUAAAUCAUGGUUAUUGAGCUUCUAGCUCAAGGUACUUCAGGGAAAAACAGGCAAUUUCCUCAUCCUUCUUUCCUGCCCUCAGUGUUCUUACAAUCCAGGAAGUGAGACAGGAAUAUAGGCAACCAUGGCACAAUGAAAUGGGUGACACCAUGGAAUAAAAACAACAAGCUAAAAGAGUUUUGAGGAAGGAAAGGUAAUUUAUGAAUUGUGCAAACGUCUCUUUGAGGAUAUAGCAUUAUACUGGACCUUAGGGACAAGUAAGUUGAAUGAAAAUGUAUAGAAGGGGUGAAGAGGAAAUUGUAGGCUAAGGAAUGCUUUGGGCACAGGUUCAAAGGUGGCAAACUUAAAUGAGUUUUCAGAGAUUGACAAGUAGUUUGAUACGACUGAAACAUGAAAAAUGUAAGUAAAUGAGAGACAGAAUGUAAGGAAGUUCGUGGGAAAGAUGAAUGUCAGGCUGAAGUGUGGUAUUAUAUUCAGUAGGUAAUGUUGAGCCAUUCAAGUCUUUUUGCGUGGGAGAGUAAUAGUCAGUGCUGUGUCUUUGAAAGGCAGCUCUAAUAAUGAGGUGAUAGGUGGACUGGAGGAUUUUAGAAUACAGGAAAUUGGUAAAUCUGUUUUCCUUUUAGUUCUAUACAUUUAACACUUUGUUUUUAAAUACCAUAUUACUUUCCUAUUUCAGUUAUAGUCAAUUAACUCAAACUUGGAAAUUUAAGGCAGCUCAAACAUAUUAUCUUACAGUUUUAGAGAUCAGAUGUCCAAAAUGGGCCUCACUGGGCUAAAAGCAAAGUCGUGGCAUGGCUAUGGUCCUUCUUGAGGCUGAAGAAGGAAUCAAUUCCUUGCCUUCUCCAGUUUAAAGGCUCUCUGCAUUCCUGAGCUCCUGGCCACCUUCCAUCUUCAAAGCCAGCAGUGCAGCAUCAAUAAUCUCUUUUUGAUUUUGACUCUGAAGCUAUGUUUUUGUCAUCACUUCUCCUUCUCUGAUUCUUUUAAGGAUCCUUGUGAUUACACUGGGCCAAUUUAGAUAAUCCAGGAUAAUCUCUUCAUCUCAAGUCGUUAAUUUAAUCAUAUCUGUGGAGCCCUUUUUGCCUUUCAAGGUAACAUAGUCACAGAUUCCCAGGAUAAGGAGUAAACAUCUCCAGCGUGGGGGCAUUAUUCUGCCUACCUCAGACAUACUUAGCCCAGAGAAUAAAGCAGGGGUGAAAUGUGAAGAUCUAAGCAUGGGCUCCUACAGACAUCUUCUAGGUUUCAGCCAGUGAAAUUGGUCCUAUUCAUGGUCUCUCACAGGUGAAUCAAAGUAGCCCGAGAGAAAAGGGCUUCACUCCUCCACCAACACCUUCAAGCCAUUUUAUAUUACUUAUAAUCAACACUGAAUAGAAUAAAGAUUUAAUAAAUAUACAAAUGAUUACAUGCACUAAAUAUAAAAAGUAAAAACAUAAUUUUUGCAAAAAAAUGUAUUAAAUAUUUGGAAGACUAAAAUCAUUUUUCUAUCCUUGACUGAAAAAUUAGCAACACGGUCUGACAUUUACAGUCACAUUUAUCACCACGUGGUUAUGUUCUGCUGCAAGAUUGAAGAACAAAAGUGCCCUGUGUUUGGGGUACUCAUUUCUAGGGUUUGGUGUUUUGGAAAGUUUGUCUUUUUUCUUAUUCUCUAUUCUAUUUUCCAUGUUCCAGGUACAUGAAAAUGUAUUCUGAAGUCUGAAUACAGCUGAUAUAAGAAUGUAGCACAUCUAUUCUGAAGUCUGAGUAUAGGUGACAUAAGAAAGUAGUACAAAGAUGUUGGGCUUGGAAUUCAGGCAAACACCCUAUUUUGUCCCUGAUUUGCUGUGCAAAUACACAUUAUCACACCUCAAUUUUUCUGUGUGUUACUCAGAGAUUUAAAAAAUUGGCUCUUGAUAUGCUAUGGAAAUGUGUUAUAAAAAGAGAUUGCCUAUGUGAAAGCCCUUUGAAUAAAAUUCAAAACUGAUGGUGGUUACUGCAUGGUUACUGACAUGCGCUAUUUGUCAUGCACAGUGGUACACUAGGGAUACCGUGAUAGUAACAUGCCACCUGAAGCCAAAAGUGGGCAAGAGUGACCUGGAAACAAGCACAGUGAGUUGUGGUCAUUGCCAUAACAGAAACACAUAAACUGUGUGCAUAUUUAACCUUAUUUGGUAGUUUAAUAAUUAGAAAUGAAUGUGAGGAUUUGAGGAGUCUAUUUAGAAUGACGUAGGUAAGUUUUCUCUAGAAGUAAGACUUGAAGGGUUAGGUCCCCCUGCCCAGCCUUUGGAAGACACUGCCCUGCCUCACACAAAAAUGAAAAUGACUACAUUUGACAAUGCCCUCUACUCACAAGUAACCUAAUGGAGAAGAAUAAGGCUCUUUGGAACUCAUUGCAAACCAUGUUUCCUGGUCCUGGCUCACCCUGGGACCUAUUCCAGGAUCAGUCAUUUUCGUAAUCCUUCAAAUAUAUGUGGAAGAAGUGAAGAGUGAUUGGAGAAAAGUGACAGUGAAUUCCAUAUGCUUUCUUUGUAAAUCACUUAUAUAGCAAAUCUGCAUAGUCUAUAUGUCAAGAGAGGAUUUUUCAAGCUAAGGUUGCAAAUUCCAUGUGGGUUCUAAAAUUCUGCCUGUUCCUACAUCAUCACUAUUUUCAAAGAGUUUGCACUUGGAGUAUAACUAGCAUUAUAACUAAGCAAAAGAUGGAAAAGGAUCCCUGCUUUUUUUUUCCCCCAGCUCUUCUGAUUCACACGACUAUUGAGGGAGCAGCUUCAUUAAGCCUGGAGGCUUGCCUCUUAUAAAAUAAAGGCAAGUUUCUAAUGCCAUGAUAAUAAGGAAAGACAUGGGUUUCAGUCCCCACUCUGAUAUUAAUUUUAUUUAUUCAUGUAUUAUUUAUUUAUUUAUUUACUUUCAUCCUAGAAUGUAUAUCUGCUACAUGAAAGACUAUAAACUCGGGAACAGAAUUACCAUGUCAUAACAGUUAGUAUGCAUAAUGUUCUGGAUACUAACACAAAGAUGGUCUGCUUUCCUGAACUAUUGUCACUAGGCCACAUCUUUCUCAUAUUAGGGAUGAAUCAAACUAAGUUAUCCACACUCCUGUCCAUUCUCUUCUGUGAUCAAAUAUAAAUGUUGAACUAGUCUGGGCUAAAGUGAAAUCUGGUACAGACCUACCUAGCUAAUUUAGGAAUAGAAACCAAAACUAAAUAUAUGAUUCGGACAGAGAAAUUGGCCUAAGUAACCCAGAUAUGUCAUAAUGGUACUUAUUAUUAGUAGAAAGUAGAAAGCACAGAAUAUUAUACAACCAUAUAGUCAGAAACACAUUCUGGGAAAAAGACUAGUUCUAAUUAACUCUCUGAGCAUAACGCUUAUUUUUAAUAACAAAGGCAUCUUUAAGUUUAGAGAGGCAACUUCAUGAAAUAUGAUUUUAGCAACACUUCUCUCCAUUUUCUGUGUUUUCUUUGCUGUUAAUGUCUUCUUCAUCCCCCAGAGAUACCUAGUGCUCACAAUAAACCUUUCUUUCCUGUUAUGGGAGAAAAAGUAACCAAGAAACAAAUCCUCAUCAAGACAGUGGGAUCUAGAUACAAUACCAUCUGAGAAGUUAUUAUUCAUUGAUUUGCAGAUUCACUAAGUAAAUUUUUAGUGACUAGCUAGUAUGUACUGAGUGGUAUCUCAGAUGUGGCAUUCAUAAAGAGAAUGACACAAAAAAAAUGGCCUGGUGUGCAAUACAAAGGAAUGUAUAGUAAAAUUAAGCUAUGAAGAAUUGUGGGUGGAUCCUUUAUGAGGUUUGCAUAUAUCAUUUACCCAAAGCCUGACCUUGUCUGUGGCAACUGCUGUGACCUCUUCUUAACAGCUUUUCCACUGAAUGUCAAGAUCCUUUGACAAACUAUCCUAUUUGUGGUUGUUGUGGAGCCACUGGUUCCUAAAAACUCUCACUUUGGAUAUUGCUUUGCUUAGUGGCACAUUUACCAAAAAAGUAAAGAUGAAACAGGAGAGAAACAAGACUGAUCAACCAGGUAUUAGAUUAUAGGUAAAAAGAACUAUAGUAGGUAAAAUCCUAUUUUGGCAUUUUUAGCCAUACAUACAUCUGGAAAUUAUCUUCAUGUAGAGUUGUCUUUCACUUUUAUCUGCGUAGCAUCUUUUCUUCAAAGAAUUGUAGUCACUUGGUGUGGCUUUUUGUCAUACAACUUGACCUCCCUUGAUAUGGCAUUGGUCAUCAAACUAGUCAAUCAGAUUACUAUGUCCCUUAGAAAGAGUACUUGGCUAAUGAGUGAGCAUUGACUAAAUCAGAGCCAGUCAGAUUAUUUCUUUCAACAAACUGAAAUGGCUGAAAAAAGAGGAAGAGAGAAGGAAAGGGGGAAAGACAGAGGAGAGAGGUUGGCUCUUUUUUCUUCUGAGAUCUCAUAUAUUAUCUAGUCUGGAAUUUCCAGGGUCAUCUUUCCCAUUGUAUGCAGAAGCACUUAGGUAGAGAGAAAAACAUAAUUCUUAUGACGUCAUUUGAACUUCCAGAUUCAAUCAUGCCUGAAAUUAAACACCCUUGUGUUUUCCAGUUACAUGGGGGCAUACUUUCCCCUUUCUACUUAACUUAUUUUUAUACAUUUUUGCCAUUGAAUCAUUCACUCCAAAAAAUUAAAAGACCAUGACUUGUGGUUUGAAUUCCCUUCAGCUUGAAGUUUGGCACUAUAUAGUAGCUACACACACACACACACACACACACCCACACACACACACACACACACACAGAGUGAAUGGUAUUUAUUCUAGUGAACCUAGAGUGCAGCAGCAUGGUACAGUGGAAAGAAAAUUCUACUGGGAGUUAGAUGCCAUACAUUUAAUGUGGUAUUAUCUACAAUGAAUAUAUUUUACUUUUUAAAUAAAGAAAGGAGUGAAGGCAGCUUUAUUAUGGAAGCAAAACAGGGAAGGUCUGGGUUUUAUCUUCACUUCUGAUACAAGCUAGCUCUUUGGUAUAGGCAAGUCAUUGUAACAUUUUAAUCCUCAGUUUCCUCCUUUGUAAAGUAAAGAGCAGUGGGUCUCCCACUAGACUCUUGUGAUCCCUAGAUGUUUCAUGUAACACCACAAGAAGUGGAAUAUGAGAGGUGGAAUAUGAGAUGGAAUGUGAGAUAUCCAACCUGUUUUCUAAACCAGAGGAACACUUAACAUAUUUGCUCUAUCUACAAAGCUUGAAUGUCAGUUUCCAAGGGUUUCUGUAGUAUAAAAUUUUGAAAAAAAAAAAAAAAUUAAAAAGUUUUUUAAAAAUGGGGCUUGAUAAUUCCUAAGUCCUUUUUAGUUUUAACACUCUUUGAAGUUAAUCCCCAAGUCAAAGUUUCUACUAGAAAUAUAGUAAUUUACUCACAGAAAAUAGUCAUCUUCUGUAAUUGCUUUUACUUAAUCCAAGCCUGUUGGUCACAUUUGAACAUUCAGAGUCUUUACUUUUGUGAAGUAUGCUGCAUAAAAGUUAAGAAAAUUUAGUUUGGGUGUUCAAGUUCAUAUUUUAGAUACUCAAAUUCAGAACACUUUAGGAAUAGAAAAAGCACAAACCCUAUUUAUAUCAUUGGGACAUAAAUGUUAAACUGAGAAGAGUGAUAAAGACUCACGUGUUUCUAAGACACAUACAGGUCUUCAGCUUCUUAGCCAUUAGGAAAGGAACCAAGCAAAGAUGAAUAAUAUUCAUAAACUAGUACAAGGGUUUUGUUUGUUCGUUUUUUUUUUUAUCAUUUCCAAUCAACACUGACUCCAUGCUUAUGCUGUGCUAGACAUCAUGGCAGAUGCCUUCGAUACAUAAAGGGCUGUGACACAUUCCCUAUCUAGUUAAGAACAGACAUGUGCCUUAAACAUAAUUAUAGCUGCAAAGUUGCAAAUGAUAAAUCUCCAGAGAUUAAAAUUUCUAUGUCCAAAUAAGAGGGUAACUCAUUUAGAACCUGGCUGGCUGAAAUUACAAAUGAUUUAUGUUUCACCCUGGAAUCUUAUUUUACUUCUUGGUGGAUUAGAGAGGUAAAUUAUUUUUAUUAGAGGAUGUUUUGCAUCUUGCAGAGAUAAAGUAUCAAAGCUUUUUGCCUUAUGCAACUCUUUUCAACUACUCAUAUUUUUGAACAGAUUAAUGCAAGAAAAUAUAAUCAGGAGAAGAUGUGUUCCUUUAGCUCUGCUUCUUUUGGAACCCCCUUGGUAUUUUGCUUAUCAAGUUGGAAGAGUUGUGGCAGAAGAUAUCUAGCUCCUGAAAAUUCUGAAGAUGAAAUAAUUAUCACCUUCGUUCUACUUUUCUGAGCUAUCUUCCUUUUUCUGCCAACAUUUUCCACACCAAACACCAUGGUUCACCUGGAUAAAGGUGCAGCACAGUUCCACCAAAGGAGCCAAGGGGCUGAGUCUUUUUCAGCAGGUAGAGCUAGUGUAUCCUAACACAGGAGUUUUCAUAGAAACUUCAGCUUAGACAAUCUAUGAGCCUUCACACACAAGCAGCCAAGCAGAUACAAAUGAGCUCUUUUAAUUAGGUAUCUGGAUUUAUAUUGGCUGACUCAGCUCCAUCUCAGCUUUAGAGGAUGAAAAAUCACCUGAACGCUCUCUAAUGAAAUACCCCUUGCCCUAGCAUGUGAGUGCUUGUCUGAGUCACCAGGAAGUGUAAUAAGGAACACUCAGGGAUCCAGCUGUGUAUGCAGCCCUCCUGCUGGAGGUAGGGCUGGCUUGUCCCCACCACUUGGAGUUCUCCCUGAGUCACUCAGUUCCUGGCUGAGUACAGCCAUUCUGUGAUUUAUGUUACAUACCAAUGCCUCCAGGCAGAAAAUGCUGAUAAUAAUUGCUUGCUAUGGGGGAUUAGGAAAAGGCAAAGGCUUUCUUUGGGAUUUCCUUUUCCUUUCUUCUCUCUUCCCUUCCCUUUUGUCUCUUUCCCGCCUUUCUGCUUUCCUAACCUCCCCUUCCUUCAUUUCUCCUCUUCCCCCUCUCUUGCCUAAGUCUUUAAAGCAACAUAGUUUUUUUUUUUUUUACUAGCAGCAUUGUAAAGGUAGCCAAAUAAAUUCUGAGUAUGAGUUCUUUAUUUCUCGCAAGUCAAAGUAGAAAGUUGAAAAAACUCACAAAUACAUCAAAUAUACCUUAAAGAGGUAAACCAACUAUUCGGUGAAAUUUUAUAGCUAAGAAAACCCAAGUGCUAAUGAAUAGGUAGUUUCAAAAUCUGAGAUGGAAUCUCUAAAAAGGAGGGAUUACUUUUAAAACACACACACACACACACAUAGACAUAAAAUGUAUUCAUUUGUCUGGGUGCCGUGGCUCACGCCUGUAAUCCCAACACUUUGGGAGGCUGAGGCGGGUGGAUCAUCUGAGGUCGGGAGUUCGAGACCAGCCUGACCAACAUGGAGAAACCCCAUCUCUACUAAAAAUACAAAAUUAGCCGGACAUGGUGGCACAUGCCUGUAAUCCCAGCUCCUUGGGAGGCUGAGGCAGGAGAAUCGCUUGAAUCUGGGAGGCAGAGGUUGCAGUGAGCUGAGAUAGUGCCAUCGUACUCCAGCCUGGGCAACAAGAGUGAAACUCCAUCUCAAAAAACAAACAAACAAAACAACAACAACAAGAACAAAAACCCACAAAAACAUAUUCAUUCAUUUCGCAAAAUUUUGCACCUACAAUACCUGAGGAACUUGACUUUGAGAGAUACUCAAAUAAAAAAUAAAAUACC